rnacentral:rRNA from 1 species
GAUGAACGCUGGCGGCGUGCCUAAUACAUGCAAGUCGAGCGAACAGACGAGGCGCUUGCUCCUCUGACGUUAGCGGCGGACGGGUGAGUAACACGUGGAUCACCUCCCUAUAAGACUGGGAUCACUUCGGGAAACCGGCGAUAAUACCGGAUAAUAUAUUGCACCGCAUGGUUCAAUAGUGAAAGACGGUGUUUCUGUCUCUUAUAGAUGGAUACGCGCUGCUUUAGCUAGUUGGUAAGUUAACGGCCUACCAGGGGAACGAGGCGUAGCCGAGCGAAGAGGGUGAUAGCCGGCCUGGGAAGGGGGACGGCGUCAAUGGGCCUAAGGGAGGCAGCAGAAGGGUAUCUUCCGCAAUGGGCGAAAGCAUGACGGAACAACGCCGAGUGUGUGAUGAAGGUCUUCGGAUCGUAAAACUCGCUUAUUGGGGAAGAACAAAUGUCUACGUAACUGUGCACGUCUUGACGGUACCUAAUCAAAAAGCCCCGGCUAACUACGUG